rnacentral:misc_RNA from 1 species
GAUGAAGAACGUUAGCGAAAUGCGAUAAGUAGUGUGAAUUGCAGAAUUCAGUGAAUCAUCGAAUCUUUGAACGCACAUUGCGCCCCUUGGUAUUCCAUGGGGCAUGCCUGUUCGAGCGUCAUUUGUACCCUCAAGCUUUGCUUGGUGUUGGGCGUCUUGUCGUAUUACGACUCGCCUUAAAUACAUUGGCAGCCGGCACUUUGGCCUAGGAGCGCAGCACAUUUUGCGAUCGUAGCCCGUUGUACUGGCGUCCAUCAAGAACAUUUACCACGUUUGACCUCGGAUCAGGUAGGGAUACCCGCUGAACUUAAGCAUAUCAAUAAGCGGAGGA